rnacentral:rRNA from 2 species
AAAUUGAAGAGUUUGAUCAUGGCUCAGAUUGAACGCUGGCGGCAGGCCUAACACAUGCAAGUCGAACGGUAGCACAGAGAGCUUGCUCUCGGGUGACGAGUGGCGGACGGGUGAGUAAUGUCUGGGAAACUGCCUGAUGGAGGGGGAUAACUACUGGAAACGGUAGCUAAUACCGCAUAACGUCGCAAGACCAAAGAGGGGGACCUUCGGGCCUCUUGCCAUCAGAUGUGCCCAGAUGGGAUUAGCUAGUAGGUGGGGUAACGGCUCACCUAGGCGACGAUCCCUAGCUGGUCUGAGAGGAUGACCAGCCACACUGGAACUGAGACACGGUCCAGACUCCUACGGGAGGCAGCAGUGGGGAAUAUUGCACAAUGGGCGCAAGCCUGAUGCAGCCAUGCCGCGUGUAUGAAGAAGGCCUUCGGGUUGUAAAGUACUUUCAGCGGGGAGGAAGGUGUUGUGGUUAAUAACCGCAGCAAUUGACGUUACCCGCAGAAGAAGCACCGGCUAACUCCGUGCCAGCAGCCGCGGUAAUACGGAGGGUGCAAGUGUUAAUCGGAAUUACUGGGCGUAAAGCGCACGCAGGCGGUCUGUCAAGUCGGAUGUGAAAUCCCCGGGCUCAACCUGGGAACUGCAUUCGAAACUGGCAGGCUAGAGUCUUGUAGAGGGGGGUAGAAUUCCAGGUGUAGCGGUGAAAUGCGUAGAGAUCUGGAGGAAUACCGGUGGCGAAGGCGGCCCCCUGGACAAAGACUGACGCUCAGGUGCGAAAGCGUGGGGAGCAAACAGGAUUAGAUACCCUGGUAGUCCACGCCGUAAACGAUGUCGACUUGGAGGUUGUGCCCUUGAGGCGUGGCUUCCGGAGCUAACGCGUUAAGUCGACCGCCUGGGGAGUACGGCCGCAAGGUUAAAACUCAAAUGAAUUGACGGGGGCCCGCACAAGCGGUGGAGCAUGUGGUUUAAUUCGAUGCAACGCGAAGAACCUUACCUACUCUUGACAUCCAGAGAACUUUCCAGAGAUGGAUUGGUGCCUUCGGGAACUCUGAGACAGGUGCUGCAUGGCUGUCGUCAGCUCGUGUUGUGAAAUGUUGGGUUAAGUCCCGCAACGAGCGCAACCCUUAUCCUUUGUUGCCAGCGGUCCGGCCGGGAACUCAAAGGAGACUGCCAGUGAUAAACUGGAGGAAGGUGGGGAUGACGUCAAGUCAUCAUGGCCCUUACGAGUAGGGCUACACACGUGCUACAAUGGCGCAUACAAAGAGAAGCGAACUCGCGAGAGCAAGCGGACCUCAUAAAGUGCGUCGUAGUCCGGAUUGGAGUCUGCAACUCGACUCCAUGAAGUCGGAAUCGCUAGUAAUCGUAGAUCAGAAUGCUACGGUGAAUACGUUCCCGGGCCUUGUACACACCGCCCGUCACACCAUGGGAGUGGGUUGCAAAAGAAGUAGGUAGCUUAACCUUCGGGAGGGCGCUUACCACUUUGUGAUUCAUGACUGGGGUGAAGUCGUAACAAGGUAACCGUAGGGGAACCUGCGGUUGGAUCACCUCCUUA